AUGGAUUUUCAACAAAGGGGUUCGGUAUAGUGCUGGCCUUUUAUCGGGGCAUGUGCACAUCCUUUCCCUGAUUAUCCUCCUUCUACCACUGUGAACCUUUAGUAGGGCUGGAAACGGCUCUAUGUUUUUCUUACACACCAUGUAUAACCUUUGAAUGUCCCUUUUUUACUUUCAAGUAUGCUCGAGAGGGCAGAAAGAAAAUAAAAUAAAAUAAAAUAAUA
rnacentral:misc_RNA from 1 species